UUGGCCCUGAAUCAAGGCUGGCAGUUUCCUGAAGCUGUUGGUUUCAAACGGGAACCUAAAGUGGUAUCUUUCUAUGAUUUGUUGGCCAUUUCAGAACUUAAAUAUAAUGGUCAAUUCAUUAGAAAGAGACAACU
ensembl:snoRNA small nucleolar RNA SNORA2/SNORA34 family